rnacentral:ncRNA from 2 species
GUGCUGCCACACGACUGGCGCAGGUGGGCCACCACCAGGGAGUGACGCGCGAGGGGAUCGAACGCCUGGGUGCCCUCG